ensembl:lncRNA
UUAGAACUGUAGCAAAUGUGUUUUAGCAAAAUGGAACACGCAUUGUAUGUAGGCAAUCUAUAGCACUUGAAUCUCAUUAUUCAUCAAGGUAAAAUUAUUUAUUUUCUUAGAUCACCUACAGUUGACCGAAUCAAGUGCAGAGAGUGAGGUCGAUGAAGGAAAUCUCACAUAUCCACAGACUGAUUCUACAGAGAUGAAACGAACAACACAACCUGUUGAAGCUUCAGUUACUUAUUUAUUGUCACCAGAUGGUUAAACUUUUAACAGUGAAACAAUUUGCUGUGAUGUAUCCCUAACCUAUUGUUAUUUCACUGUCAAGUCAGUAACUGUGUAAUCUCUUACUGUUUUCUUGUAUUUCAGAUAUAAUUCGAGGGUAUGUUAAUUUGUUUUGGGUUUAUUAUUGUGCAUUUUACUGUUGUUGUUUUUUUAUAAUAUAUCUCUACUAAUAAAAUCUAUUUUUUUUUUGUUCUAUUGUUUUUU